rnacentral:rRNA from 1 species
UACGAAGGGGGCUAGCGUUGCUCGGAAUCACUGGGCGUAAAGGGUGCGUAGGCGGGUCUUAAGUCAGGGGUGAAAUCCUGGAGCUCAACUCCAGAACUGCCUUUGAUACUGAAGAUCUUGAGUUCGGGAGAGGUGAGUGGAACUGCGAGUGUAGAGGUGAAAUUCGUAGAUAUUCGCAAGAACACCAGUGGCGAAGGCGGCUCACUGGCCCGUAACCGACGCUGAGGCACGAAAGCGUGGGGAGCAAACAGG